rnacentral:rRNA from 1 species
AUUGAACGCUGGCGGCAGGCCUAACACAUGCAAGUCGAACGCUCCGCAAGGGGAGUGGCGCACGGGUGAGUAACGCGUGGGAAUAUGCCCUUCGGUUCGGAAUAACACAGGGAAACUUGUGCUAAUACCGGAUACGAUCUACGGAUGAAAGAUUCAUCGCUGAAGGAGUAGCCCGCGUAGGAUUAGCUAGUUGGUGAGGUAAUGGCUCACCAAGGCGACGAUCCUUAGCUGGUCUGAGAGGAUGAUCAGCCACACUGGGACUGAGACACGGCCAGACUCCUACGGGAGGCAGCAGUGGGGAAUAUUGGACAAUGGGCGAAAGCCUGAUCCAGCCAUGCCGCGUGAGUGAUGAAGGCCUUAGGGUUGUAAAGCUCUUUCGCCGGGGAAGAUAAUGACGGUACCCGGAAAAGAAGCCUCGGCUAACUCCGUGCCAGCCGCCGCCGUAAAAC